UUUUAAAUUAGUUUAGCCACUUAAAAGUGUUUUUAAGCGCCAAUGCACCUAAUGCGCUCUUUCUUCUGCCUUUUUCCUUUCCUCUUUCUGGUAAGUUUUCUUCCUUUUUGAUUUUUGCUUCCUGAUUUCAUCUUCUUCUAUUUGGGUUCCAUUGCAGAUUUGCAGUGUGGGAACUAAAUUCCGACUUCAAACAAAGAUUCCUAAACUAUUGGGUGCAGCAAUUGAAAGGUUUUCGGAGGCACAUUGAAUUUUUUUCCAUUUCAAGGGGAAGAAAGGAGAAAGGCUUUUAAUGGAGAAGCUAUUUGAUAGUGAUUUGUAGGUGACUCAUAUUUUAGAGGAAUCCUCGCCUGCAUCUCUUGCUCAUGGAUGGUAGGUGAUAACGGAAGAGCUUUUAUUAGGCAAUGGCAAUUUGGAUAUAUCAACCAAGAAGAAGAAGAAACAGAAAAGAUAAAAUAUUGACAAUGUGGAGUUGGACACGUCGGAACAUGUAAAUAGGUAUUCCAUCCCAAUUAGUAAUCAAAUAAAUUUUGUAGAGGGAUUGAAAAACUAAUGUAUACGGCGAAAUCAGAGGGUCUAAUUUUUUUGCUAUCGAGUCACUUCAGAAGAACACCUCGAAACCCCGAGGACGCGAAGGUGUGACCGAGUUCCCUCCCCCGGAGCUCGUCGAGGUUCGACUUAAAGAGGAUACAAAUCGAGGCUAGAGUAAAAUGGGUAAUUCCCAAGACACACGGCUAAGAGACAAAGUCGGCCUACCCAGAGCCUGUAUCAAGGCGUCGCGUCUAGCCGUCCCAUCUCCAUGCCUUUGCAAUUAAUGUAUUUUGUACUAUGACGGGAUUCCCCUCCUAUAUAAAGGGGAUCCUCACCACUUUGUAA